CUUUCCCAUACUUUUUUAUGAAGUCACCCUCGGGGAUCAGUUACCGUGACCGUUAUGAUGCUCCGGCUGCACAACCAGAGCCGUAUGGCGACGGUUUGAAUCAUGUGAGACUUGCGCCGAAUACAACUGAGGGUUUUUUAUCGGAAAAUAGAGGAAACGGUGGCGGUUAUCAAGCUCCGGCUGCGCAGCUAGAGUCGUACGGAAACGGCUCAAAUUACAUGAGACUUGCGCCAGACACAAAUGAGGUACUUGCGCCCGAUCAACUGGAGCUUCAUCACCGUCGUCGAUCAGGAGAGAAAGAGAAGAAAGAGAGCGCAAAGGUAUGAAGAGGGCGGCUGAGGUAGAUCUUCCAAGAUUCGGAAAGUGAUGAUUUGAAUUUCUCAAAAGCUCAAGGUAUGAAACUCAUGCACACAACAUGUUUGUAGAUUUGUCUAUAUUAGUUUUCGGUUUUAUAAUCAUGGUUGCGAUGAUAGGCGAAAUCAUAUGUCAGAUUAUUCGCUUUCUUUUGUAUUGAUUCAGUUUCUCAUGAUGGUUUCCAGUUUUCUUUUCCAAGAAUUAGAACAUAUGCUGUUAUUGGUUGCGUACAAACUGUUCGUUGAAAUGAUUGAAUUAACUUCGAUUUCUUUCUUGUUGAAUUA